GAGGGUAUACCUCAGUUGUAGAGCACAUGCUUAGCAUGCACGAGGUCAUGGGUUCAAUACCCAGUACCUCCG
rnacentral:tRNA from 1 species